rfam:Hordeum vulgare subsp. vulgare, WGS project CAJW01000000 data, contig: morex_contig_49218
UAUAUACUCCCUCCUUACCGAAAUACUUGUCCUAGAGAUGAAUGUAUCUAGACUUAUUUUAGUUAUACAUACAUCCAUUAUAUCCAUUUCUAGGACAAGUAUUUUCGGACGGAGGAAGUAUAUG